GGAAGGCCCAUAGCUCAGUGGCUGAGCAUCUUGCUUUGCAUGCAGAAGGUCCCAAAUUCAAUCCCUGGUGUCUCCA